CCUGAAGACACAGCCUUAAGACUAGAGAAACAAGGAGAUUUCUACCAGGAUCUUUAAAAUUCCAAUCAGAUGGCAUGUAACCUAGCAACAGAGAUGCCGGUAAAGGCCACGUACUGAGAAUGUGAAGUUUCCCUCCGGAUACUAAGACAGGUCUCCAUGUGUGUCCUGACUCGAAAUUCAAACUGCUCAGAGUUAGAUCUGAUCCAAAGCUGCUAUAGAGAAAGAAACUCUGCAGAGAGGCCGCAGCUAGGAGGAGAGUGGUAACAUGGAGCCUCAGCCCCCAUGCCCACCGCUCACGUGCAAGUGUGAGAAAAGGAGUUCGGUUUUCCCGGGGCUCAUCCACGACGGAAGAGCAUGGCUUUCCUUCCAUCUUGCUCCAGGGAGUUUAGAAGAGCAGUCAUGUUUUCAGACAGCGUUCCGAGGAAGUUGUUACUCCUGCACAAGGGAAUCAGCUUGGUGGCUACUGGGCUAGAUGAAGAUAGGGAACGAGAAAAGAAAACUGAACUAAAAUGAGGAAGAUGAAAGAAAUAAAGACAAGAAGGAGGAGAGGGGUGAAAGCAUAAAAAAAAAAAAAAAACCAGCAGUCAUCAGAGACCUUAAACACGAAGAGAGGUUGUCGGACUCGGAGUCCCAAACCGGAAGUCUGAA